rnacentral:rRNA from 1 species
CAGGAUGAACGCUAGCGGCAGGCUUAACACAUGCAAGUCGAGGGGCAUCGGGAGUAGCAAUACUGCCGGCGACCGGCGCAAGGGUGCGUAACGCGUGAGCAACAUGCCCGUAUCAGGGGGAUAAUCCAUGGAAACGUGGUCUAAUACCCCAUAGUAAUUAUGUAAGGCAUCUUAUAUAAUUUAAAGCUUUGGUGGAUACGGAUUGGCUCGCGUGACAUUAGCUGGAUGGUAAGGUAACGGCUUACCAUGGCUACGAUGUCUAGGGGUUCUGAGAGGAAGGUCCCCCCACACUGGAACUGAGACACAGUCCAGACUCCUACGGGAGGCAGCAGUGAGGAAUAUUGGACAAUGGAUGGAAAUCUGAUCCAGCCAUGCCGCGUGCAAGGAAGACGGCCCUAUGGGUUGUAAACUGCUUUUGUAUGGGAGCAAUAAGGGCUACGUGUAGUCCGAUGAGAGUACCAUACGAAUAAGCACCGGCUAACUCCGUGCCAGCAGCCGC